GGUCCCAUGGUGUAGUGGUUAACACUCUGGACUUUGAAUUCAGAGACCUGAGUUCA
rnacentral:tRNA from 1 species